UACGGGGGGAGCAAGCGUUGUUCGGAUUUACUGGGCGUAAAGGGCGCGUAGGCGGCGCAACAAGUCACUUGUGAAAUCUCCGGGCUUAACCCGGAGCGGCCAAGUGAUACUGUCGUGCUAGAGUGCGGAAGGGGCUGCUGGAAUUCUCGGUGUAGCGGUGAAAUGCGUAGAUAUCGAGAGGAACACCUGCGGCGAAGGCGGGUAGCUGGGCCGACACUGACGCUGAGGCGCGAAAGCCAGGGGAGCGAACGGG
rnacentral:rRNA from 1 species